rnacentral:lncRNA from 1 species
AGAAAGUUCACUAUUUGUAGCACCAGGAAGUGUUCAAUCCUCAGAUGACCUAGAAGAAGACAGUAGCGACUACAGCAUUCCUUCCAGGACUAGUCACAGUGACUCCAGCAUUUACCUUCGACGACAUACUCAUAGGUCUUCGGAAUCGGUUAGUAUGUGAAUUUCUUCUCUUUCCGCACGGCCCCUGCUAAUCAAUUCCUUUCCAUCCUUCCUCCUCCCCAGCCCAGAGCUUUGAAAUUACUGGCAUGCAACAGCUAUACUUUUGGAUAGAAGACAAGCAGAUUGGAACCUUAUCAUUAAGCACAGUCCGAUCGGAUAUCCGGUUUGGGCAAUAAGAGAUGUAAAUAAAGUGAGGAUUUUAAAGCCCAAAGGCCUCCUUGCUAUAAAAACGCACCCAAAACGCCUCACCUGGACCCCGCGCGCACCCAGAAGGAUCACGUUCAGAGACAGAGGUGCAACAUGAGUCAAGGAUCAUUUUAGCUAUGUUCAGUUGAGGAACGCAGCAGAUCUGGAUGACAGAAGAAACCGAAUAUUAACCAGGAAGGCCAACAGCUCAGGAGAAGCCAUGUCACUGGGGAGCCACAGCCCGCAGAGUGACUCCCUGACACAGCUUGUCCAGCAGCCGGAUAUGAUGUAUUUUAUUCUCUUCCUGUGGCUCCUGGUGUACUGCUUGCUGCUCUUCCCACAACUGGAUGUUAGCAGGCUCUGAUACGUGUGUCUGGAUAAUAAAAAAGACAGGACCCUGA